CAAUAGCGUAUAUUAAAGUUGUUGCAGUUAAAAAGCUCGUAGUUGGAUUUCUGGUUGAAGCGACCGGUCGGGCGUUGAUUCGUCUGCACUGGAGUCGGUUUUGGCCAUCCUCUAGGAAAGUGCGUCUGGUAUUAAGUUAUCGGGCGUAUGGUCCUGGUCUUUUACUGUGAAAAAAUUAGAGUGUUUAAAGCAGGCCUUCGCCUUGAAUACAUUAGCAUGGAAUAAUAAGAUAGGACUUUGGUCUAUUUUGUUGGUUUGCAGACCGAAGUAAUGAUUAAUAGGGAUAGUUGGGGGUAUUUAUAUUCCGAUGUCAGAGGUGAAAUUCUUAGAUUUUCGGAAGAUAAACUUAUGCGAAAGCAUUUACCAAGGAUGUUUNCAUUA
rnacentral:rRNA from 1 species